rnacentral:lncRNA from 1 species
UGUUCUUAAGACUACUAGACCAGCUUCAGGGAGGGAAGCCAUAGCCUCCCCCUCAGCUAAUCUGAAGAGCAAAAGGUUUACUAUCCGAGCAACGCAACACCUCCAAUGCCACUGCAAUGGUGAAGAGGCUGCCUGAAUCGUCGCCCGUCAACUAUAAUGUUUUACAAAGGAUAUUAGUUGAUGUUCUUAAGACUACUAGACAAGCUUCAAGGAGGGAAGCAGAUCCUCCCCCUCAGCUAAUCUUAAGAGCAGAAGAUUUACUCUCAGAGCAACGCAACACCUCCAUUGCCAUUGUAAUGGACAAAGAGGCUGCCUAAAUCGUCGCUCGUUGGGUUUGUUCUGUAAGACUGAAAAUUAGAAACAAAAAUUCAUUUGCUUAUACAUAAAUCUAAUGUCAGCAAACGUUAACUUCUCACAGAAAAAGAGUUUGAAGCAAGAUGAUUGAAUAACAAUUUGCUUUGUAGUGUCCGAAGGCAAACUUGGUAGACACAGCACGGGAGGAGCUGUCCAUCCAUAGGUCCCUCGGAUGAAAAACAAAAGAUUUGGAUACUAAUGUGAUAAAGAUGUAUCCGUGGCAACAGAUGUGACAGAACCAAAAAUAUCACACAUCCACAAAAUCCACGGCGUGUCAUCACUGUGCGAAGAUUAAAACUUUGUUAGAUAAGACUCAUUCAACACAUCUCUGCUGGGACCUUCGCCAGAAGAAACCAAAUUGUGUAUGAAACAGAUAGAAAAUGUUCUUAAGGCUACUAGACAAGCGUCAGUGAGGAAAGGAAAGCCACCCCCUCAGCUAAUUUGUAGAUCAGAAGAAUUUAGAUUCAACCACUGGUGUUUGACUUAUUCGUAAUAAUCUUUAUUAACUGAUGUUAUUUCUAUAAAGUUCCUGGAAACGUAUAUGAUGUCGGUCUUUCUGACUCCAUUUUAUAAAUUAGUAUAAUGUGUGCAGUUUAAAAAAAACUGCUUACCACCCGCAAAAAAAAACUGUUUUUGUCAGGGUAUUCUUACAGAUGUGAAGGAGCGCAAGAAAGAAAUACUGCAAAAAGAGUACAACAAAAAAUAAUCAUUUCCAUUUGCAACACUACACUAAAAAUAUGAAAAUUUAACCAAAACUGUUUUUACAUAGCUCCAAAUUGCUUCAGCACCAAUAGCGCAUCAAGCAAAAGAACUGAAGUACUAUUUAGUUUGAUCAUCAUAGUACAAAACUGAUUGAUUGCUUGAAGAAAGUGAUGUUUAAACAGAUUCCUACCAUCCAUGCACUGCACCCAACUUCCACCUAAUGCAACAAUUUGACAACACUUGAUUUGCAUUUACAAAAUAACAUAAUUGCAACUGCAAUAUCUAUUCAGCCACAUCUGCAAAAUCCACCAAAGCACUGUAAUGCUGGCUUUCUUAUCAGCUACAAAAUCAGGAACAAAAUCUAAGAAAUGUGCCAGAAGACAGGUAACACCACACGGUUUGAUAGAGCGCAGUGCUGUUUAAUGCUGGCUUGUGUUUCCGUUCAUCUAUGCUUCCCUCUACGGGAUGACAAAACUGUUAUCAACAGGCCAUCCUUCCAGUUGUGAAGCAACAAACACUAACAUUUUUUUCAUCGCAAACUAAGAAAACAUGGAAUAAAUAGCAAAAAGCAAUUAUUGGGUAAGAACUAUAUAAUCAAGCAUUUCCUCAGCUCAGGUCUCCAAAUUGCUUCCGCACAGCACCAAGAUAGCACAUCAGAAGAACGAAAGUAUAGUUUGAUCAUCAUCGGGAAGCUUUCAGCAUUACAUCCAGUAAAAAAUAUAUCACAAAGAAAUUGUCGCUCAAAACAUUUGCAUUGAUGAUCAGAUAAUUUUUAAGACAAGGCUGAAACUGAAAAUGCAAUAACACAAGGCUGCCUGAAUCAUCCCUCAUCACAAGACUGAAAACUAGAUUUAUUCUUAAUGUUGUAGAACCAUUUAAUGAUUUGCUUUACAUAUUGAACUGACAUUCAGUGUCCUGGCAAACAAAUAUGACCAGCCAAAUAUACAUUCACAAGGACCCCAUUUAUUCAUAGUAUAUUUAAUGUUUUUUUACAUCAGUUGUUUUGCUUCCAUUCAAGUCAGAAAGGGCCAUCUGGAAGCCUUGGGUCAGUUGAACAUGUUCAUUGUUCCUGUAUAGCUUCAGUUGCCAAUUGUGUAACAGCUGGAUCUAUCUAGCUGUACUCCAAAGCAUACAGGCCAACCCUAAGCAGAGCAUUGUCAUCCAAGAUCUGAAUUGCAAACGGGAAAGUGAACGGUAUUCCAAAGAAGAAUGGUUGAAAAGGAGAAAAGCAGAUCAAUUUAACUUGGAAAGCGAAAACAUCAGAGAGAUUCCCAUUAUAGACGUAGUCUGUCAUAACCCUGAAAUUCAGGAUUCUGAUGUCCCUGUCUUGCUAUCAUCAUUUGUUUUCAUGAUCACCAACCAGAAAAUUAAAAAACAGAUCAAUCAAAUUGGUAUGAGAAACAUACUGAUGAUGUUCUUAAGACUACUAGACCAGCUUCACGGAGGGAAGCCAAAGCCUCCCUCUCAGCUAAUCUGAAGAGCAAAAGGUUCACUAUCCGAGCAACGCAACACCUCCAAUGCCACUGUAACGGUAAAGAGGCUGCCUGAAUCAUCGCUCGUCAGACUAAAUGUUCUACAAAGUUUGUAAUGAAGGACUAUUAGAUGUUCUUAAGACUACUAGACAAGCUUCAAGGAGGGAAGCAGAGCCUCCCCCUCAGCUAAUCUGAAGAGCAGAAGGUUUACUCUCCGAGCAACGCAACACCUCCAUUGCCAUUGUAAUGGGGCAUAGGGGCUGCCUGAAUCGUCGCUCGUUGGGUCUUUUUUAUAAGACUAAUAUUAAGGAACUAAAAUUCAUUGGAUUAUACAUAAAUUGAAUGUCAGCAAACGUUUCCAUCUCACAAAAGAGUUUCAAGCAAGAUAAUUGAAGAACAAUUUGCUAUAUAAUGUCCGAAGGCAAACUUGGUAGACACAGCACGGGAAGGGCUGUCCAUCCAUAGGUCCCUCGGAUCAAAAACAGAAGAUUGGAUACUAAAUGAUAAAGAUGUAUCCGUGGCAACAGAUGUGACAGAACCAGAAUAUCACACAUCCACAAAAUCCACGUCGUCUCGUCACUGUGCGAAGAUUAAAAAUUGUUAGAGAGGCCUCAACGAGGGAGAUUCACCACCUCUCUGCUGGGAUCUUCGCCGAGAGAAAACGAAAUUUACAUACAAAUCUAGCACGAAUAGAUCUUAGAUCGAGAGAAAAGAAAACUGAAUCUGAACAAGAAUGGGCUGUCUGGCUGGACGGAUGCUCGGGUAACCCUAAACCUAUGAACAUCACGCCGCCGCCAAUGAAGCCGGCGGAUCAAUAGGUACUAGCUCUUCAUGGCAUCGAUACCAGGAACGAAAAGAAGCUAGCACGAAUAGAUCUUUGGAUCGAGAGAAAGAAAAUAGUAAAUCAAAAACAAGAACGGGAGAUCUGGCUGGGUGGAUGCUCGGUGAAUACGAACCAGUAGUAAAGGUGAGCAUCACGCCGCCGCCAUUGAAGACGGCGGAUCAAUAGAAACUAGCUCUUCAUCGCAUCAAUAAUACCAGGAACGAACAAGAAGAUAAGAAGAGGCGGAAGAAAAGAGAAAGCAAAUGUCGAGGAGGACGGGCGGCGGCUGCGGGGUGG